rnacentral:tRNA from 1 species
GCCCCCGUCGUCUAGCGGCCUAGGACGUCGCCCUCUCACGGCGGUAACGCCGGUUCAAAUCCGGUCGGGGGUACGA